rfam:Felis catus isolate Cinnamon breed Abyssinian chromosome B2, whole genome shotgun sequence.
GCCUGACUAGCUCAGAUGGUGGAGCAUGGGACUCUUGAUCUCAGGGUUGUGGGUUCAAGUCCUAUGUUGGGUG